rnacentral:rRNA from 1 species
GACGAACGCUGGCGGCGUGCUUAACACAUGCAAGUCGAACGGAAAGGCCCUGCUUUUGUGGGGUGCUCGAGUGGCGAACGGGUGAGUAACACGUGAGUAACCUGCCCUUGACUUUGGGAUAACUUCAGGAAACUGGGGCUAAUACCGGAUAGGAGCUCCUGCUGCAUGGUGGGGGUUGGAAAGUUUCGGCGGUUGGGGAUGGACUCGCGGCUUAUCAGCUUGUUGGUGGGGUAGUGGCUUACCGAGGCUUUGACGGGUAGCCGGCCUGAGAGGGUGACCGGCCACAUUGGGACUGAGAUACGGCCCAGACUCCUACGGGAGGCAGCAGUGGGGAAUAUUGCACAAUGGGCGGAAGCCUGAUGCAGCAACGCCGCGUGCGGGAUGACGGCCUUCGGGUUGUAAACCGCUUUCGCCUGUGACGAAGCGUGAGUGACGGUAAUGGGUAAAGAAGCACCGGCUAACUACGUGCCAGCAGCCGCGGUGAUACGUAGGGUGCGAGCGUUGUCCGGAUUUAUUGGGCGUAAAGGGCUCGUAGGUGGUUGAUCGCGUCGGAAGUGUAAUCUUGGGGCUUAACCCUGAGCGUGCUUUCGAUACGGGUUGACUUGAGGAAGGUAGGGGAGAAUGGAAUUCCUGGUGGAGCGGUGGAAUGCGCAGAUAUCAGGAGGAACACCAGUGGCGAAGGCGGUUCUCUGGGCCUUUCCUGACGCUGAUGAGCGAAAGCGUGGGGAGCGAACAGGCUUAGAUACCCUGGUAGUCCACGCUGUAAACGGUGGGUACUAGGUGUGGGGUCCAUUCCACGGGUUCCGUGCCGUAGCUAACGCUUUAAGUACCCCGCCUGGGGAGUACGGCCGCAAGGCUAAAACUCAAAGGAAUUGACGGGGCCCCGCACAAGCGGCGGAGCAUGCGGAUUAAUUCGAUGCAACGCGUAGAACCUUACCUGGGUUUGACAUGGAUCGGGAGCGCUCAGAGAUGGGUGUGCCUCUUUUGGGGUCGGUUCACAGGUGGUGCAUGGCUGUCGUCAGCUCGUGUCGUGAGAUGUUGGGUUAAGUCCCGCAACGAGCGCAACCCUUGUUCACUGUUGCCAGCACGUUAUGGUGGGGACUCAGUGGAGACCGCCGGGGUCAACUCGGAGGAAGGUGGGGAUGACGUCAAGUCAUCAUGCCCUUAUGUCCAGGGCUUCACGCAUGCUACAAUGGCUGGUACAGAGAGUGGCGAGCCUGUGAGGGUGAGCGAAUCUCGGAAAGCCGGUCUCAGUUCGGAUUGGGGUCUGCAACUCGACCUCAUGAAGUCGGAGUCGCUAGUAAUCGCAGAUCAGCAACGCUGCGGUGAAUACGUUCCCGGGGCC